rnacentral:rRNA from 1 species
CGUUGUCCGGAUUUAUUGGGCGUAAAGAGCGUGUAGGCGGCCUGACAGGUCUGCUGUGAAAACUCGAGGCUCAACCUCGAGAUGUCGGCGGAAACCGUCUGGCUAGAGUCCGGAAGAGGAGAGUGGAAUUCCUGGUGUAGCGGUGAAAUGCGCAGAUAUCAGGAAGAACACCUAUGGCGAAGGCAGCUCUCUGGGACGGUACUGACGCUGAGACGCGAAAGCGUGGGGAGCGAACAGG